GCGAGUGGGAGAGGGAAAUGGGAUCGGAUCGGAUCGGUUCGGUUCGGUUCCAUUCCAAGGCACUCCAUUCGAUUUCAUUCGACAGGGGGUUUACUGUAAAUGUAAUUACCAUAUCGUACCAAUAUCAGACUUUCUUUUCAUCUGAGAAACACUUGAUCAGAUAAUAUCAAUCAAUGUGGUCAUAGCUGGAAAUCAAACUAAUUUCCUAUUCAACAUACAUAAUAAUAGUCGAGUGGAAUGGAUGCAGCUAAUAGUGAAUCGAACAAUAAACUGGUUUACAUAUGCAUGUACAUAUGUCGAAUAAUGCUGCGUAAUAUGUACAUAAGUACAUUUGUAUGUACGUCUGUAAGUCUUUGACUAUGGAUCCGCUCGAUCUCUGAAUUCCCUUCACUUAUCAUAGAGGACAGCAGGACAGUAGGACAGUGGGACAGAAGGAGAGCAGGAGAGCAGGAGAGCAGGAGAGCAGGAGAGUGACUCUAGCCUAAGAGCACAGAGCACACAUCACAUAUGUACACAUAAAUACCCAUAUUUUUACCGGUUUGUACUUCUACUAUAAUGUGUACAUAGUACUAGUUCAUAUAGUAAAUGUGUACAAUGUACAUCUUAAAAAACUGUUAUAAAAGAGCACUGGAUCUGCUUCGAGCCUACUUUCGAA